rnacentral:misc_RNA from 1 species
GAAACGCGAUAGUUAAUGUGAAUUGCAGAAUUCAGUGAAUCAUCGAAUCUUUGAACGCACAUUGCGCCCGCCAGUAUUCUGGCGGGCAUGCCUGUCCGAGCGUCAUUUCAACCAUCAAGCCCCCGGGCUUGUGUUGGGGACCUGCGGCUGCCCGCAGGCCCUGAAAACCAGUGGCGGGCUCGCUGUCACACCGAGCGUAGUAGCAAUCACCUCGCUCAGGGCGUGCUGCGGGUUCCGGCCGUUAAACAGCCUUACAAAACCCAAGGUUGACCUCGGAUCAGGUAGGAAGACCCGCUGAACUUAAGC